rnacentral:tRNA from 1 species
UGGGGCUGUAGCUCAGCUGGGAGAGCACCUGCUUUGCAAGCAGGGGGUCAGCGGUUCGAUCCCGCCCAGCUCCACCA